rnacentral:rRNA from 1 species
AACGAACGCUGGCGGCAGGCUUAACACAUGCAAGUUGAACGUGAUUUGCUGGGUGCUUGCACCGAGCAAUGAAAGUAGCGCACUGGUGAGUAACACGUGGGAACGUACCUUUUGGUGGGGAACAACAGUUGGAAACGACUGCUAAUACCGCAUAAGCCCACGACCCGGCAUCGGGUUGAGGGAAAAGGAGCAAUCCGCUUUGAGAUGGCCUCGCGUCCGAUUAGCUAGUUGGUGAGGUAACGGCCCACCAAGGCAACGAUCGGUGGCCGGACUGAGAGGUUGAACGGCCACAUUGGGACUGAGACACGGCCCAG